rnacentral:rRNA from 1 species
GUCUAUGGCCAUGCCACUCUGAAUGUGCCCAAUCUCAUCUGAUCUCGGAAGCUAAGCAGGGUCGGGUCUGGUUAGUACUUGAAUGGGAGACCACUUAGGAAUACCAGGCAUUAAAAAAA